AUCUAGCCCCGAUGGAAACGGCAUCCCGCGCUCUUUUUGGCGCGGAUAUAGUGUACAGCGGGAACAUUG
rnacentral:sRNA from 1 species